UACGUAGGGAGCAAGCGUUGUCCGGAAUCAUUGGGCGUAAAGCGCGCGUAGGCGGCCCCGUAAGUCCGCUGUGAAAGUCAAAGGCUCAACCUUUGAAAGCCGGUGGAUACUGUGGGGCUAGAGUCCGGAAGAGGCGAGUGGAAUUCCUGGUGUAGCGGUGGAAUGCGCAGAUAUCAGGAGGAACACCAAUAGCGAAGGCGU
rnacentral:rRNA from 1 species